rnacentral:rRNA from 1 species
UACGUAGGGUGCAAGCGUUGUCCGGAAUUAUUGGGCGUAAAGAGCUCGUAGGCGGUCUGUCACGUCGGCUGUGAAAACCUGCGGCUUAACUGUGGGCUUGCAGUCGAUACGGGCAGACUUGAGUUCGGCAGGGGAGACUGGAAUUCCUGGUGUAGCGGUGAAAUGCGCAGAUAUCAGGAGGAACACCGGUGGCGAAGGCGGGUCUCUGGGCCGAUACUGACGCUGAGGAGCGAAAGCGUGGGGAGCGAACAGG